GGCCGCAUUAUUUYGACUGUGCAAAGGUAGCAUAAUCAUUAGUCUUUUAAUUGAAGGCUGGUAUGAAUGGUUGGAUGAGGUGAAUUCUGUUUUAURUUAAUUUUUAUUGAGUUUAGAUUUUAAGUAAAAAGACUUAAAUGUUAUUAAGGGACGAGAAGACCCUAUAGAGUUUCAUGUCUGUAGUAAUUAAUUGAGUUAAAUCUUAAUUUUUGAUCAUUAUGAAAUUUAUUUAUUUGGGGUGAUUGGAAGAUAAAAUUAACUCUUCUUUGUAUUUAAUAUAGUAAUUAGUUAUAUAAACCAUGUUUAAUGAUUAAAAGAUUAAAUUACCUAAGGGAUAASAGCAUAA
rnacentral:rRNA from 1 species